GGAAGUUAAGAAACUGUUUCUUAACUUUUAACUAAAAAAAGCUAAGAACCGGUUCUUAAAUAAGGACUUUAAGAACCGGUUCUUAGCUUUUUUAGUUAAAAGUUAAGAAACAGUUUAUUAACUUCC
rnacentral:pre_miRNA from 1 species